ensembl:lncRNA
UUCUUAUGUUUUUGCUGUCGCUCAGCCUUUCUUUCCUUUGAGUAGCAGAAGAUUGGGAAGCUUGGCCCUCGAGGGAAAUGAAUGUGUCCUGGACCUCUGAUGCCACCUGUGAAGCAGAAGGAUUGUCCCUGAUAUGUGUCCAACAGCCACUCCAGCUGAGGUUAAGGAAGGAAAAUGGCUUGGUAUAAACAGGCUAGCUAGGCUUGCAUGGGAAAGGAUCACCUCUGAGGCUGGAUGGACUCUUCUGUCUCUGGGCCUGCAGGCUAUCAGAGGGACAGGGACUCCAUCUCCUUGCCCUGCCACGCCAGCCCUGGAUUGCACACACGCUGCUGAAGCUGACACGUUAAUGUAAAGCAACUUGUGCAUUGCAACAAGGAAACUAAGCCAGAUCAGAGCACCUAUCCCAUGUCAACAUAACCUUAAUGUCCAGCAGUCAUUUGACACUCCCUGCUGAAGCAACUCUACCUCCAAUUAAAACCAUCUGAAAUGAGGGUUUUGAUCUGCUGGGCACUAAGAUUACAGCUCCAGAGAGACUCAUAAAUGCAUAUGGUUUCCUCCUCUUGUUGCCUUUUGUGUCCCCUAUAAAGAAGGGUUCUUCAUGGAACUGAAGGAG